ACUCAAAUGAAUUGACGGGGGACCGCACAAGCAGCGGAGCGUGUGGUUUAAUUCGAGGCUACACGAAGAACCUUACCUAGGUUUGACAUCUUAACGAACACUGCAUGAAAGUGUGGUGGCCUCGCAAGAGGCGUUAGGACAGGUGCUGCAUGGCUGUCGUCAGCUCGUGCCGUGAGGUGUUCGGUUAAGUCCGCAAACGAGCGCAACCCUCGGUGCCAGUUACAAGUGUCUGGCGCGACUGCCCGUGGCAAACGGGAGGAAGGUGGGGAUGACGUCAAGUCAGCAUGGCCUUUAUAUCUAGGGCUACACACACGCUACAAUGGCGCGUACAGUGGGUCGCGAACUCGUGAGGGGGAGCUAAUCCUAAAAAGCGCGUCUCAGUUCAGAUCGCAGGCUGCAACCCGCCUGCGUGAAGUUGGAGUUGCUAGUAACCGCGCGUCAGCAGAGUGCGGUGAAUACGUUCCCGGUCCUUGUACACACCGCCCGU
rnacentral:rRNA from 1 species